rnacentral:misc_RNA from 1 species
CGCCGGUUGACACGUCGUUGGCCGGGUCGUUCUCGCACCAGUCGCACCCGGCAAAAGCAGGCAAAAGUGUCGGCGUAGCCGCGAACCGACAACGACCACCGUGUCGCUACGGCCGUCGCCGUCACCUUUGCGUUCGCCUCUUUCGCCCGCAUUGGUUAGUCGCCGCCGCUCGUGGUGUUUCGUGUCGUUCCGCGCGUCGUAGCCGCGCGUCGUCGUCGUCGUGAUACACCGUCCGAUCCGCUCCGGGGCCUCCGGCUCGCCUGAAGAGGAGUGAGGAGGAGAGGGGCCAGCCUACGACGAUGUUAUCGCGGAGUCGCUCGAAGAAGGGGAGAUGCUCCCCCGGGGAGCACGAAUCUGCGGUGUACGAGGGUAGGGGAAGUCAGCUGAACGCCGGUGGAGUGGUGAGGGUCGGGCGACGAGAAGGGCAAACCGAGAGCGCUCCACGUCGACCGCUCCGAGCGGUUUAGUAGCGAGUCGAGUCUCACCGCGUCAACGUGUUGAAGAUAUAUCGAGUACGAUAACUGUACUGUAACUGUGACGCGAGUUCGUUUUCUUUCUUUUUUUGUUUCCGCGUGAUUCGUCGUUUCAACGGACGCUGGGUUGCUCCGACCUAAGGGUGCUCCAACGAUUUGUUUCUCCUAUUCUCUUUCUUUCUUUCUUUCUUUCUUUCCCCCCCCCCUCUCUCUCUCUCUCUCUCUCUCUCUCUCUCUCUCUACGUAAUUUAGUGCUUGUGGAAAAAAAAGAGUUUUGUGCGUAUCGCGCGCACAGAUAAGUGCCGCUUCAUCACCGAAUCAACUUAAAGCUUGGUGCAUGGCUUCGCGUCCGAGAGUGAUAUCGUUGUUUCACUGCUGCGGCGGAUAUAAGAGGAAGAUAGUGCGACGGAUCGCGCGGCUGGAUCGCCGAUGAGCCGUCGAGUGUGAUAGAAAAAGUGGUGCCUAUCGUCGAGUAAUACGACCGACGGCGCGAGAGGAUCGACCGCGAAAGAUGCUGACGUCCAGCGCGAAUCAGUAUCUCCGUCCUGAUCAUUACCUCACGCCGCUACCUACUACGCUGGAUGCGAAGAAAAGUCCACUUGCACUGCUCGCACAGACCUGCAGUCAGAUAGGAGCGGAUCCACCGUCCAACAAAUCAUUAUUAAGUUCCUUGGACAAGACAUCGAGUAACAGAUCAUCCAAAACGGAACAGUCUCGCGAGAAAUCCUCGCCGACGAUAACAGUGUCAGCCACGGUGCCGACGUCGGCGAGCGAGUCCACGAAGACUAGUUUUAAGCCAUACGAAUCCUGCCUGGGACGUGAGAAGGCGUGCACGCCGGACGAGUCGCGAUCGACGUCAAGUCACUCGACGUCCGGCCGAUCGAGGACGCCCGGUAACAGCGGCAAACGAUGCCCAAGCAAUCAGAGUGCCACGUCGACGCGCGCGGUCACGCCGCAAGGUAGGAAAACAGCAACGCCAAACGGCGAGGUCACGCGAGACUCGCCGGCUUCAAGAAACUCGGCGCCUUCGGUGCCGUCGAGUACGACGGACGCUUCUACGAGUCAGCCAACCGUGAGUAGUCCCUCGUUACAAGUGAAACCCGCCUACAGUCCCGUCAGCGUGCUCGCUAUGGCCGAUCCAUCAAUCAAGGAUCUCCCAUUGGGCACGUUUAAGCCUGGCGUUAGUCUACCAGCCUCCACCGCCGCCUACUUGGGCUACAGUCCCGGUCAACUACCCAUCGACGUGAUGGCCAAUUCGCUCAUGUCUCAUCACGCCGCUCUGAAGAAUGGCAUCAACCCUUAUCUUUAUGCACGAUUGAAAAGCACCAGUGGACCCGCGGACAGUCUGAUGCCGAUAUGCCGUGAUCCCUUCUGCACCGGCUGCCAGCUUAACUCGCAUCUACUGUCGAACCCCGCGACAGCCGCAGCGGCAGUCGCCAGCAUCGCCAAUGGCAAGUUGCCAUCGGGUGCGAGCGCGACGCCGGGCUCCUGUCCGGCUGGGUGCGCUCAGUGUGAUCACAAACCCGGCAGCGUUUCGCCCUACGGCUCGUUGGUUUACGCGCAUGCGCAACUCGCAGCAUUGGCCGGCACGCAACUACCCUACGUGUGCAACUGGAUCGCGGGUGAUACCGCGUACUGCGGAAAGAGAUUCGGUACGUCCGAAGAGCUGCUGCAACAUCUUAGAAGUCAUACGAACGUGUCGGCGAGCGCAACCGAUCCCGCGAGCGCGGCUGCCGCGCUUUCCCUCCUGCCUGGCCCACCCCCGGCACUACACCCGACUCAUCCUCUGUUCGCGAGGUCUUACCCUACGCCGCCUUUGAGUCCACUCGCUACCGCGCGCUACCAUCCCUAUGGGAAACCCUCGCCGCUCUUGACACCGUCUCUGUCGACGCUCGGGCUGCCGCUUCCGCCGCCGCCACCGCCACCACCGCAUCCACACGCGACUGCCGGACUGGCAUAUUUCUCGCCGUAUUCUAUCUACGGAUCUCGUCUAGGUGCUACCUCCGGGAUGCACCAAUGAGUUCUCGGCGAUGAACCGAGACGCGAAACGUGAGCGAAACGCUUUCGAGAUAAGUCGGCCGGCGAACUGUGAUUCUGCUACGGAUUUGAAUACGUGAACGAAGAGCAUCGGUUCUACUAUAAAAGCGGUGCUUUUGUCACGGCAUCUCGUGAAGGAAUCUGGAGUCAUAAAACGGAUAUCGAAGCGAAAGAAUCGAGAAUGAAUUCUCAUGUAUCAGCUUAGACCAGAAGCGACGAAUUUAUGAC